GGCCCUAUCGUCUAGUGGUUAGGACACAUCCUUCUCAAGGAUGGAACGCGAGUUCGAUCCUCGCUAGGGCUA
rnacentral:tRNA from 1 species